rnacentral:rRNA from 1 species
UAGGGAAUCUUCCGCAAUGGACGAAAGUCUGACGGAGCAACGCCGCGUGAGUGAUGAAGGUUUUCGGAUCGUAAAACUCUGUUGUUAGGGAAGAACAAGUGCGAGAGUAACUGCUCGCACCUUGACGGUACCUAACCAGAAAGCCACGGCUAACUACGUGCCAGCAGCCGCGGUAAUACGUAGGUGGCAAGCGUUGUCCGGAAUUAUUGGGCGUAAAGCGCGCGCAGGCGGUUUCUUAAGUCUGAUGUGAAAGCCCCCGGCUCAACCGGGGAGGGUCAUUGGAAACUGGGAAACUUGAGUGCAGAAGAGGAGAGUGGAAUUCCACGUGUAGCGGUGAAAUGCGUAGAGAUGUGGAGGAACACCAGUGGCGAAGGCGACUCUCUGGUCUGUAACUGACGCUGAGGCGCGAAAGCGUGGGGAGCGAACAGG